rnacentral:lncRNA from 1 species
AUCAAACUACUACUGAAGUUGUCAUUUGGUAUUUAUGAGUAUAUACAUCUUUCAUUUAUGUUCCAAUUGUAACUUUUAAUUUAGAAAGGGGAACAGUGACCUCCUGGCAUGGGAUCUUCUCUUCAGCAGUUCGCUUGAGUCUUCUUCUUCAGCUUCAUUGGCAUCCUCAUCCUCCUCGGCUACACUAAAAGAGCACAAUAGGAGCUCCUCCUCAUCUGCCACUGAUUUGCCCGGGUGUAGAGUAUCUCAGUCUUUGCUUGGACACCAGACAGAUUCUGGGUCUACAAGCCCAUCCUCACCAGACUUUACCAUUAGCACUUUGUGCAAAUCUGGUGUUACAGCAGCGCCAUCAGGGAGCACCAGUACUUUAUCCUGUGUUUCAUGGUCUCAGAGUCAGUGGAUUUCCUUUGCUGACGAACUUCUGACAAACAGAAACAAAAGCACAUACAAGGAGCCCCAAAGAUUGCACUUUAAAACUGAAAAUGUCUGCCUUGCCUCUUCUGCUUUGCUUGGGAAUUCUUCCAACAGUUGUGCUUCUGAGGAUCAAAGUGACCUUUUCAAUAAUAUUAUAUGCCAUGAACAAUUAUUCGCUGAAGAAACUGGCACUGCUGCUGAAAUUUCUUCCGCAUCAUCUUCAGCUCUACUCAACUAUAGUUUAGUGUCUUCUUGUGCUCAUACAAAUAAGGGUAUGGCAAGCAUGCAUUGUGUACUGCUCUUUGCUAAUAACUGACUCCAAAAAGCAAGCUUUGGACUUAUUUUUCUUUUUAUUAUUACUGCUCACCUGAUGUGAAAAUUAACUCAUCUUCUUACUUAAAAUGUACUAAACUGCUUGUUGGCACCAACUUCCUUGAAAGUUAGGACAAUGAAGUAAGUAUUCAGCUUGAAAUAAGGAGAAAAAUUCAAAUUAUUCAAUUAAAGGCAUUGCUUUCUCUUAACUAUGCAGAGCUUUGCUUUUCUAGAAAUCGAAAUGUAUUUUUGUAGGAUGUCAGAUAGCAGUGAGAUCUCAAAGUGAUUGAAUUUGCAAAAACAAUUCCAUUCCUAAAUGGCUUUGUAUAGAUAUGUUCAGAUUAAAUAAAGUUAAAUAAAUUGGAUUUAAAAACGUUCCU